rnacentral:lncRNA from 1 species
UGCUUUGUCACCAAGAAACCCUAAACACGUUGUUGCAGACUUGAAGGUGGUUUGGAUAUUGGUCAUUCUCCACUUUGCUUCGGCACUAACCAUGUUACCCUCUCCACCCACAGCCGGCUUUUGUGCUCAGUAUAGGACGACACCGAAGCUACGUGUUCUCUGGAAUCGCCCUGCUGGCCCUAAAUUCAGUGAGUUAUAUAUGUUAAUUCCUUUUUGUUUUCAAUUUUAAUUUUAAUGAUGAUAAUUAUGUGAAAUUAGGUUUUGUAGCUUCUAUUCGUUGAUGAAAAUUUUAAGUGUUUUAGGCUAAAUUGAUAAUCUGAUUUAUACAUAGUUCAGAUGAAGAUUCUGGCGACGAUGACGGAUUUGCUUUCUUCAUCGAAAAUUUGUUGCAUGUGUGUUCUUUAGCCCAGUUCGUAAUCUCUUCAUUUGCUAUUGUUAAUUUUCUUUUUGUCUUAAUUUUUGGUUUCUGAUCUUUAUUUGAUUUAAUGUUGCUCAUUUUCUUGAGUAGUUGUUCUUCUUCGCCUGUAGUCUAGCUGGUAUGUUUAGAUUUUUUUUUAUUAUGUUAUAGUUGUAAUUUUAGUACGCAGGUUUGUUUAACAAAGGGAAGUUGUUUAAUUUGGUGGAAGCUUGUCACAGAAGAACUCUAUAAAAUAUAUGUCUUCUUUGGCGGGAUUCCUUUCUCGAUUGUGGAACUGACGUUGUUAUUCGAAAUUCUCUCAGGUUGUUUUGCCUGGCUGGAUUAAUGGUUAUUGCAGUUGCUGAAUGUGCUACGUGGUUUUUGGACGACGGUGGUUAGUCGCUUUUAUUGUUGUGUAGUUUUUUUAUUCGGGGGUUCCAGUUGCUGUUAUAAUUUAUUAGAUGAUCGUAUUUACAAGCCGCCCCAUAUUUACAUGUCCCAUGCCUACUGAAGUUGAUGGUUCCGAUUCUUUUGCUGUCAAAUAAACUUGCAAAUUAGAUAAGAACAUGCUUUGAAGACUGGACCAUUGAUGUAGAAAAACAAACUACCAAAGAAAUUAAUGAUUCUAUUGCUCAGGCUCGCCUUUUAAACGGGUCAAGCAUGUCAAAUGUUGAAAAUUGGCUAAUAAUGAAAGGGCAUAUCAAUAUGUAGUAAAUUUGAGUGUAGAAAAUUAUGUUGAAUAAUCUAGAAGGUUGUUUAUUAAGGGUUAGCAAGUAUGCUUUGUAGCAUCAUGUAGCUACUUCUGGAUUUUUACCUGUUUUAUUUGGUGUUCACAUACCAUGUGAUCUUAGUUAAUCCUUGAUAUAUAGGCUAGGCUAGGCGAUGUGACUAUAGAACACUAAUGUAAUGGAUGUGGGUUUUAUUAGUGGACACUUGGGUU